rnacentral:rRNA from 1 species
CAGCAGCCGCGGGAAUACGUAGGUGGCAAGCGUUGUCCGGAUUUAUUGGGCGUAAAGCGAGCGCAGGCGGUCAAUUAAGUCUGAUGUGAAAGCCCCCGGCUCAACCGGGGAGGGUCAUUGGAAACUGGUUGACUUGAGUGCAGAAGAGGAGAGUGGAAUUCCAUGUGUAGCGGUGAAAUGCGUAGAUAUAUGGAGGAACACCAGUGGCGAAGGCGACUCUCUGGUCUGUAACUGACGCUGAGGCUCGAAAGCGUGGGGAGCAAACAGGAUUAGAUACCCCCGUAGUCCCUGUCUCUUAUAC